rnacentral:lncRNA from 1 species
ACCUUCCUGCCGUGGAAACUGCGAGAGUUAAGAAGUGCCUUGCAGGAGGCUGGGUUCCUGCGGGCUCGCUAGGUGGUUUCUCUGAGGAGUCUCUGCGGCAUUGCGCUCUCACCUUGACCAGAGGGUGCUCCAGCCAGUACUCCCGGGCUGAGGUUAAAUGCAGUGAGCUAGUCAUCGAAUUAUGAGGGCAAGAAUUCGCUAUGGUUAUUGGAAUGCCAUCUGAAGCCCUACUGUUCGGAAUCCAGUCCUGUCUUCACCGCGUUCUUUGAUUUGGUGGCAGCAGUGAGAUUGAAGGAGACUUCUGACAGCUUCAGGGACAAUGAGAAAUACAGGCCCAAUGCCCUGUGAAUCCUUUGAGUUCUUUGUCUUUUUUGAAGUUUCUGAGGGCCACAGGCUUCAUCAGUAACUCCUAACCUCACUAAUAUGGGGAGGGAAAGCAGAUGUAAGACUGGUAAAUGACUGAACAAAAUGGAGGAAGGUAUCAUCCCAAGUGCUCACAAAAGAAGACCAAUGGAAACUAAGCUGAUUCUGCCUCCAAAAUUCCAGAGGCAACACAGAAGGAAAGUGCAAGUCUCACCACACUUAUACCACAGGUAUUGAUCAGCAAAACGGUCAGGUGGCAAGGACCUGCAUACCUCAUAUCUGCUUAGGAAAGGAGCCUUCUGCUGACCACCACCCUCACAGGAACUGCAAGGAGGCUCUUGUCUCCUCCUGAAGCUCCCUCUUGCCUCAGCUCUUACAAAGCGCACCAAGAAGCCACUUUCUUGCCUCCUUUCCAUAGGAGAAGGAAGGAGGAAUAAUAACGAAAGUCCGUAUUUGUUGAAGACUUUCCAUGAGCCAGGCAUUCACAAUGAUCCUGAGAGGUCUGCCUGCACUGAGUGCUUAUCAUAUACCAAGCACUGUUAUAGCCCCUGGGAAUACAGCUAUGAACAAAAGUGACAAAUCUCUACUUGAUGGAGUUUAUGUUUCAAUGGGGAAGACAGAUAAUAAGCAAGAUAAUUAUAUAUAAUACAUAUAAUGUUAAAUGAUGUUCUGGAGGCUGCAAAGUCCAAGAUCAAGGUGCCAGCAGAUUCAGUGUCUGAUUCAGCACCUUGGGCCUCUUCAUUGGAUUUCCCAUUCUGAUAUUUUGUUGUUUCUUGGGUGAAGAAGAAGAAUACAGAUUUUGAGACCAGACACAGGACGAAAAAUCCCUAUUCAUCAAGUAGUGAUACCCAGUAGUCUACCCUCAGAAGCAGGAGGAUGGGAGCAGCCCAGGAAAGAGUAGCUGGGCACCCUCCUUCCCACUGAUACAACACUUCCCUGGCCCUCACUUUUCUGCUGCUUGAUGGUUUUCAGUGACAUUAUUUCUCUUUUUGCAGUAAAUCUGCCACCCUGUGCAGCUGAUGACUUCUGGCCCUUCAGAGAAGCAGCAAAUUGUCUGGGUCUGAUGCACUCUGUAUGUUUUGGUCAGAACUUUCUUGCAAAAAUAUUUUGCCUUGAAGACAAA